rnacentral:pre_miRNA from 10 species
CCGGUUCCGUCUACCCAGUGUUCAGACUACCUGUUCAUUGUUAUACUGGUGUACAGUAGUCUGCACAUUGGUUAGACUGGGCAUGG